ACAGCAGUCGCCACGGUAAUACGUAGGGUGCAAGCGUUAAUCGGAAUUACUGGGCGUAAAGCGUGCGCAGGCGGUUAUAUAAGACAGAUGUGAAAUCCCCGGGCUCAACCUGGGAACUGCAUUUGUGACUGUAUAGCUAGAGUACGGCAGAGGGGGAUGGAAUUCCGCGUGUAGCAGUGAAAUGCGUAGAUAUGCGGAGGAACACCGAUGGCGAAGGCAAUCCCCUGGGCCUGUACUGACGCUCAUGCACGAAAGCGUGGGGAGCAAACAGGAUUAGAUACCCGAGUAGUCCCUGUCUCUUAUAC
rnacentral:rRNA from 1 species